UACGUAGGGUGCAAGCGUUAAUCGGAAUUACUGGGCGUAAAGCGUGCGCAGGCGGUUAUGUAAGACAGUUGUGAAAUCCCCGGGCUCAACCUGGGAAUUGCAUCUGUGACUGCAUAGCUAGAGUACGGUAGAGGGGGGAUGGAAUUCCGCGUGUAGCAGUGAAAUGCGUAGAUAUGCGGAGGAACACCGAUGGCGAAGGCAAUCCCCUGGACCUGUACUGACGCUCAUGCACGAAAGGCGUGGGAGCAAACAGG
rnacentral:rRNA from 1 species